AGGCCCAGAGAGAGAGGCAGGGUCUGAUCCGUAGCCUCUAUGACAGCUGUUGAUCAGCCAUUGCCUCUCUCUUUUUCUUCG
rfam:Myotis davidii contig103801, whole genome shotgun sequence.